AAGCCUUGUCCAUUUGUAGGCAU
rnacentral:snRNA from 1 species